GACGAACGCUGGCGGCGUGCUUAACACAUGCAAGUCGAACGGAAAGGCCCUGCUUUUGUGGGGUGCUCGAGUGGCGAACGGGUGAGUAACACGUGAGUAACCUGCCCUUGACUUUGGGAUAACUUCAGGAAACUGGGGCUAAUACCGGAUAGGAGCUCCUGCUGCAUGGUGGGGGUUGGAAAGUUUCGGCGGUUGGGGAUGGACUCGCGGCUUAUCAGCUUGUUGGUGUGGUAGUGGCUUACCAAGGCUUUGACGGGUAGCCGGCCUGAGAGGGUGACCGGCCACAUUGGGACUGAGAUACGGCCCAGACUCCUGCGGGAGGCAGCAGUGGGGAAUAUUGCACAAUGGGCGGAAGCCUGAUGCAGCAACGCCGCGUGCGGGAUGACGGCCUUCGGGUUGUAAACCGCUUUCGCCUGUGACGAAGCGUGAGUGACGGUAAUGGGUAAAGAAGCACCGGCUAACUACGUG
rnacentral:rRNA from 1 species